GGGAGGGAGAGAAUGUUCUGGAACUCGUGCGAUCUGGUCUCCGUUCCUCUGCCAUCUCCGAUUUCUUCUCUUCUUCCUUCACUCUUUGCCAUCGCUGAUGAGAGAGCUGAGAUGCUGUGCGUUUUCUGUUGCUGGUCCACUGUUUUCCAGCCCAUGUCUGCUUUGUUUCUUGUUCUUGACCAUAUUUCUUCCCCCACUCUUCUGUUAGUUGAUGAUGAAGCAAGUAAAUAGCUGAUUUGAGGUUGUAAGAGAACUAAUUUAGUGGGUUGGAGGUUGGAAUUGUGCUGUCUUCUUCUUCCCUUGUUCAGUCGUAGGUUCUGUUCUGUGCUUCCCUGUGCGUUUGUGAUUGACUGCCUAAGGUGGUGAUGGAGACUCAUGUUUAGAUAAGUUUCAUAUUGUAUCUCUUCUUCCUCUAGCUUUUGGCGUGCUCAUCCUUGAAAUGGUGUUUGGAAGAGAAGAAGUUUGAUUAAAGCUGAGAGGAGAAAUUUGACUUCUGGAGAAAUUUCAGGUAAGUGGAUAGCGUCCCAACUGAUUUUUUUAAUCAAAAUUUCUUUUACUAGAAUAUUACGUUUUUC